AGAAUCAUAGAAAGGAAACUAAGAAGGUUAUUGGCCAGCUUCCACUACACACUGUGAAGCAUGGAGAGAAGGGAAUCGAUGUUGAUGCUGAGAAUUGUGCAGUGUGUAUUGAAAACUUUAAAGUCAAAGAUGUUAUCAGAAUCCUGCCAUGCAAGGGGACCCUGAAGAUGCACAGGACCUACCCAUCCCAGAAGCUGCCCCAGGAAGUGUUUCUGUUGGGAAUCUGAGUGUGACAGUCCAAGAUGAGGAGAGGAGUGAAAGCAACCUUCCAUCAUCUUCCUCAAGCGAGUUUGGGCCACACCGCCCUUGUCUUAAAGAAGAUGCAGAGGAGGACACAGCAUUGCUAGGAGCCGGCAGGAGUGACCCUCAGCAUGGAGGAUCCAUCUGCUAGUGCCGUCUUCAUUGACAGCCUCACCGACAGAGCCUUGGCUUGAAUACAGGACACUCAGUUUUCACUCUAGGGCAUAGUUUGUACACUUGAAAACAGUGGAUUCUAUUUUACUUUACCUUUCAGAUUCAGGUUUGAUAUACAAAGGGCUGAGAUAUUUUAUUCCUAAAAGACUUUAAUUAGCCUUCAUCUAUUUAUCUACUAAAGUAUGAUGUCUAUCAUAAAUUUCAUUGUAUCAAACUGUCACAGAUGUAUGUGGAGGGGUUGUUUCUGAGUACUAGACUAGCUUCUGUGGUACUAUAAAACAAGAUUCUGUUUCUCAGGCCUUUUAGACAAAGCUC
rnacentral:lncRNA from 1 species